CAAAACUAAAACUAAACCUAUUGUAAAGUAGGGGCAGAAAGUCGCGGUUCCUUCCCAGAAGGAAAGCCGGAUUGCCGAA
rnacentral:ncRNA from 1 species